rnacentral:rRNA from 1 species
UGCCAGACUCCUACGGGAGGCAGCAGUGGGGAAUAUUGCACAAUGGGGGAAACCCUGAUGCAGCGACGCCGCGUGAGUGAAGAAGUAUUUCGGUAUGUAAAGCUCUAUCAGCAGGGAAGAAAAUGACGGUACCUGACUAAGAAGCCCCGGCUAACUACGUGCCAGCAGCCGCGGUAAUACGUAGGGGGCAAGCGUUAUCCGGAUUUACUGGGUGUAAAGGGAGCGUAGACGGCAUGGCAAGUCAGAUGUGAAAGCCCGGGGCUCAACCCCGGGACUGCAUUUGAAACUGUUUUUCUUGAGUACUGGAGAGGCAGACGGAAUUCCUAGUGUAGCGGUGAAAUGCGUAGAUAUUGGGAGGAACACCAGUGGCGAAGGCGGUCUGCUGGACAGCAACUGACGCUGAGGCGCGAAAGCGUGGGGAGCAAACAGGAUUAGAUACCCCAGUAUG